GAUGAACGCUGGCGGCGUGCCUAAUACAUGCAAGUCGAGCGAACGGACGAUGAGCUUGCGUCUCUGAUGUUAGCGGCGCACGGGUGAGUAACACGUGUAUAACCUACCUAUAAUACUGGUAUAAUUUCGAAACACCGGAGCUAAUACCGUAUAAUAUUUUGAACCGCGUGGGUCAAAAGUGAGAUUCGGUCUUUCUGUCACUUAUAGCUGGAUCCGCGCUGCAUUAUCUGGUUGUUAAGUUAACAGCUUACCAAGGCAACGAGGCAUAGACGACCUGAGAGGGGGAUAGCCCACCUGGGAAGGGAGACAGCGACCAGACGACUAAGGGAGGGACCAGUAGGGAAUCUGACGCAAUGGGCGAAAGCAUGACGCAGUAACGCCGAGUGAGUGACGAAGGUCUCCGGAUCGUAAAACUCUGUUAUUAGGGAAGAACCUAUGUGUCAGUAAACGUGGCGAUAUUGACGGUAACUAAUAAGAAAGCAACGGCUAACUACGUG
rnacentral:rRNA from 1 species